UACGGAGGGGGCUAGCGUUGUUCGGAAUUACUGGGCGUAAAGCGCACGUAGGCGGCUUUGUAAGUUAGAGGUGAAAGCCCAGGGCUUAACCCUGGAAUUGCCUUUAAGACUGCAUCGCUAGAAUCGUGGAGAGGUGAGUGGAAUUCCGAGUGUAGAGGUGAAAUUCGUAGAUAUUCGGAAGAACACCAGUGGCGAAGGCGACUCACUGGACACGCAUUGACGCUGAGGUGCGAAAGCGUGGGGAGCAAACAGG
rnacentral:rRNA from 1 species